UGGGGAAUAUUGGACAAUGGGCGAAAGCCUGAUCCAGCCAUGCCGCGUGUGUGAAGAAGGUCUUCGGAUUGUAAAGCACUUUAAGUUGGGAGGAAGGGCAGUAAGCGAAUACCUUGCUGUUUUGACGUUACCGACAGAAUAAGCACCGGCUAACUCUGUGCCAGCAGCCGCGGUAAUACAGAGGGUGCAAGCGUUAAUCGGAAUUACUGGGCGUAAAGCGCGCGUAGGUGGUUCGUUAAGUUGAAUGUGAAAGCCCCGGGCUCAACCUGGGAACUGCAUCCAAAACUGGCGAGCUAGAGUAGGGCAGAGGGUGGUGGGAUUUCCUGUGUAGCGGUGAAAUGCGUAGAUAUAGGAAGGAACACCAGUGGCGAAGGCGGCCACCUGGGGUCAUACUGACACUGAGGUGCGAAAGCGUGGGGAGCAAACAGG
rnacentral:rRNA from 1 species